UACGUAGGGUGCAAGCGUUAUCCGGAAUUAUUGGGCGUAAAGAGCUCGUAGGCGGUUUGUCGCGUCUGCUGUGAAAACUGGAGGCUCAACCUCCAGCCUGCAGUGGGUACGGGCAGACUAGAGGUAUGCAGGGGAGAACGGAAUUCCUGGUGUAGCGGUGAAAUGCGCAGGAUAAUCAGGAGGAACACCGGUGGCGAAGGCGGCUCCACUGGCCCGAAGUGACUGACGCUGACGGUGCGAAAGAGCGUUGGGGAGCAAACAG
rnacentral:rRNA from 1 species